UGCAAGUCGAACGGUCACUUUAGGUGAUAGUGGCGGAACGGGUGAAGUAACGCGUGAGAAUCUAGCUCUAGGUCGGGGACAACCACUGGAAACGGUGGCUAAUACCGGAUGUGCCGAGAGGUAAAAGGCUUGCUGCCUAGAGAUGAGCUCGCGUCUGAUUAGCUAGUAGGUGUGGUAAGAGCGCACCUAGGCACAGAUAAGCAAAGGGUCUGAGAGGAUGAUCAGCCACACUGGGACUGAGACACGGCCCAGACUCCUACGGGAGGCAGCAGUGGGGAAUUUUCCGCAAUGGGCGAAAGCCUGACGGAGCAAUACCGCGUGAGGGAGGAAGGCUCUUGGGUUGUAAACCUCUUUUCUCAGGGAAUAAAAAAAUGAAGGUACCUGAGGAAUAAGCAUCGGCUAACUCCGUGCCAGCAGCCGCGGUAAUACGGAGGAUGCAAGCGUUAUCCGGAAUGAUUGGGCGUAAAGGGUCCGCAGGUGGCCCUGUAAGUCUGCUGUUAAAGAGUGAGGCUUAACCUCAUAAGAGCAGUGGAAACUACAGAGCUAGAGUGCGUUCGGGGUAGCAGGAAUUCCUGGUGUAGCGGUGAAAUGCGUAGAGAUCAGGAAGAACACCGGUGGCGAAAGCGUGCUACUAGGCCGUAACUGACGCUGAGGGACGAAAGCUAGGGGAGCGAAUGGGAUUAGAUACCCCAGUAGUCCUAGCCGUAAACGAUGGAUACUAGGCGUGGCUUGUAUCGACCCGAGCCGUGCCGGAGCUAACGCGUUAAGUAUCCCGCCUGGGGAGUACGCACGCAAGUGUGAAACUCAAAGGAAUUGACGGGGUCCCGCACAAGCGGUGGAGUAUGUGGUUUAAUUCGAUGCAACGGAGAACCUUCCAAGACUUGACAUGUCGCGAAUCAUCUGAAAGGGAGGAGUGCGUCGUGAGCGCGAACACAGGUGGUGCAUGGCUGUCGUCAGUCGUGUCGUGAGAUGUUGGGUUAAGUCCCGCAACGAGCGCAACCCUCGUUUUUAGUUGCCAGCAUUAAGAUGGGCACUCUAGAGAGACUGCCGGUGACAAACCGGAGGAAGGUGGGGAUGACGUCAAGUCAGCAUGCCCCUUACGUCUUGGGCUACACACGUAUUACAAUGCUACGGACAAAGGGCAGCUACACAGGAUGUGAUGCAAAUCUCAGAAACCGUGGUCAGUUCAGAUGAAGCUUGCAACUCAGUUUCGUGAAGGAGGAAUUGCUAGUAAUUGCAGGUCAGCAUACUGCAGUGAAUUCGUUCCCGGGCCUUGUUCACACCGCCCGUCACCCCAUGGAAGCUGGUCACGCCAGAAGUCAUUACCUCAACCUUUC
rnacentral:rRNA from 1 species